CUAAUACAUGCAAGUCGAACGCUUUGUGGUUCAACUGAUUUGAAGAGCUUGCUCAGAUAUGACGAUGGACAUUGCAAAGAGUGGCGAACGGGUGAGUAACACGUGGGAAACCUACCUCUUAGCAGGGGAUAACAUUUGGAAACAGAUGCUAAUACCGUAUAACAAUAGCAACCGCAUGGUUGCUACUUAAAAGAUGGUUCUGCUAUCACUAAGAGAUGGUCCCGCGGUGCAUUAGUUAGUUGGUGAGGUAAUGGCUCACCAAGACGAUGAUGCAUAGCCGAGUUGAGAGACUGAUCGGCCACAAUGGGACUGAGACACGGCCCAUACUCCUACGGGAGGCAGCAGUAGGGAAUCUUCCACAAUGGGCGAAAGCCUGAUGGAGCAACGCCGCGUGUGUGAUGAAGGGUUUCGGCUCGUAAAACACUGUUGUAAGAGAAGAAUGACAUUGAGAGUAACUGUUCAAUGUGUGACGGUAUCUUACCAGAAAGGAACGGCUAAAUACGUGCCAGCAGCCGCGGUAAUACGUAUGUUCCAAGCGUUAUCCGGAUUUAUUGGGCGUAAAGCGAGCGCAGACGGUUAUUUAAGUCUGAAGUGAAAGCCCUCAGCUCAACUGAGGAAUUGCUUUGGAAACUGGAUGACUUGAGUGCAGUAGAGGAAAGUGGAACUCCAUGUGUAGCGGUGAAAUGCGUAGAUAUAUGGAAGAACACCAGUGGCGAAGGCGGCUUUCUGGACUGUAACUGACGUUGAGGCUCGAAAGUGUGGGUAGCAAACAGGAUUAGAUACCCUGGUAGUCCACACCGUAAACGAUGAGUGCUAGGUGUUUGAGGGUUUCCGCCCUUAAGUGCCGCAGCUAACGCAUUAAGCACUCCGC
rnacentral:rRNA from 1 species